ACAACUUUAUAUGUAUGUACCCUGACUUUUAGAAAACCCUGAUUUUUUUCCCUUUAUAUAUACAAAUAUGUACUCUGUAUAUGUAUCUGGACUGGAUGGCCCUAGCUAUACCGGCCCUAUAUAUAUUAGAGACAAUUAUAUAUGUACAUAUAUACCAGUCCUAUUACUAAAGAAAAGUUAAUUUCUGUGAGAAUUAAGACAGGAGGAGGAGGAGGGCGGUCGGCGACCAAUUAGCUUGCGGCGGCGGAGAGAGAUUAUUUAACAGAGAAUUGAAGGGGCUACUGUCGCAGGAGAGAUGACGCCUAAUAGUGUGUGACAGAUCAAAUUAAGGGUUAUAAUUUGAUGAUAUAUAUAGUCCAUACAUUAAUAGGCUUCAUCUCCCCGCGACUGAAGCCCCUCCUACUUUCUUCAACAAUAUCUAUAAAUAUAUAUAUAUAUUUGUUGUACUUUGUAAAUCACGAUAUUUCUCAUGAUUAGAAGCUAUGGCUGCAGCCCUUGCCCCCUACAGGAGAGAUGGACUCCGACCUUGACACCCUUAUCGACAAUGCAGGCGCCAAGAGGAGCAAAUGCCCUAGGGCGGGAUCACUGAAGACCGGUCAGCCGGGCAAAGGCUCCAAGAGAUCCAAGAAGACACCUCCCCUUGCCCCGCCGAUUUCGAGCUCUAUUGCUGCGUCGACUGUCCAGGCCAGCGCCUCCACGACAAUUCCAUCCUCGCAGGCCGUCGUCUCCGCGGUUGCACCGACUUCGCUGGUUGGUGCCCCUGCCAUUUUUGAGUCCCAACCUCCUGUGGUGGGCGAAACGUCUUCUGCUCAACUUUCCAGAAGGCCUUCUGCUUCUCGAGUUCAGAAGCUAACAAUCUCCACCCAUAUGGACUCAUAUGUGGUGGACAAUACUGCUGGACCUCACGGAUCUACGCUGAUCUCGGAUGUCAUGUCCCGGAUCGGCCAGAGCUAUGGCAGUUUCGAAGCUCCCCAGUGGCAGUGCUAACUGGCACCCGAGACCGCACUGUCCUUUACGAGAAGAGUAUCGAGCACACUGCUGCGGCUCAAUUAAGAGCUGAACAACGAGAUCCAUUCGAGCAGGACUCAUGCUCAAGAGGCGAAGGACCUCCACCUUAGAGCGAAUGACGAUCUGAAGGCGGCGAAUGCUAAGCUCGAGGCAGUGGUUAAGGAGCGUGAGGACAUGGCCAAGGAGCUCGAAAAGCUGAGAGCUGAACUCGAGGAGCAAAAGAAAGAUAAUACCCAGCUUCAGGAGACCAAUAAGAAGCUCGAAGAGGACAAGGCCGCCACCUUCGACAUCAUAGAGGAUGCCAAAACUCGCCUUCUUGCCGAGUACAAAGAAAAGAAGGAAAAUGCGGUCGACUCAGCCAUGUACUGGAUGUGGGCUUAUAAUGAAGAUCUGGACACCAGCUUCUUAGGUCCCCACGAGGCGCCGCUUCUUGAACGAUGGAAUGCUCGGCUCAAGAAGGAAGAGGCUGAACAGCUCGAGAAGGAGAAGGCUGCUCCGGACACCGUUUCGGAGGGAGCUCAGGAGGAUAGUCAUGCUAUUCGUCCUGGGGGGUCCGGUGCCACCGACGCUGAGAAGGCCAAGGAGACUCCUCUUCCUUGAAUCUGACCUCGGGGAGAUCAAUUAUCGAGGCUGCGUCCCCUUAUUUCUGUAAUUAUU